UAGGGAAUAUUGCAAAAUGGGCGAAAGCCCGAUGCAGCAACGCCGCGUGGGCGAUGAAGGCCUUCGGGUCGUAAAGCCCUUUUUGAGGGGAUGAGGAAGGACAGUACCCUCAGAAUAAGCCUCGGCUAACUACGUGCCAGCAGCCGCGGUAAAACGUAGGAGGCGAGCGUUAUCCGGAUUUACUGGGCGUAAAGCGCGUGCAGGCGGAUUGGAGAGUUGGAUGUGAAAGCUCCCGGCUUAACUGGGAGAGGUCGUUCAAUACUUCCAGUCUUGAGUGCAGUAGAGGGAAGUGGAAUUCCGGGUGUAGUGGUGAAAUGCGUAGAUAUCCGGAGGAACACCAGUGGCGAAAGCGGCUUCCUGGUCUGUAACUGACGCUCAGACGCGAAAGCUAGGGUAGCAAACG
rnacentral:rRNA from 1 species